UCAGUGCAUGCUGGAUAUCAUAAGCAUUUGCUCUGGUAAUGAGGAGACUCCUGCCCUUUGUACUGAGCUCUGAGCUGCAGCAGACUGGCAACAGCAUUUGGGCAGCAAGAGUAUCUGCAAAAGAGACUGAGUCCCCCAUUUUCUGGAGGCUGGCAGCCCAUGGGAUUUCCUGGAAAGGGGGUUCCGCAAAGGCACAAAGGUCCAGAACAGCACCCAUGUUGAUGGGAAACCAUUAUGGUCAAUGAAACCCAACACCAAAAAACAAACCAAGACAAUCACCUCAAUUUGGAACAGAUUUUUAUGGGUUAAAACUCUACAGGAAUCAAUGAAGAUCCAUCAACUGCUUCUGAUAAUACCUUUGGCUUCUGCUUUUUUUCAGGAGAUGGGAAUAACAAAAGUAAAUUCUUUGAGUCCUUGAAAAAUAUAUUUACUGUUAGAUUACAGGGCAAGACCAAUGGGAUCUCCAAACACAGCUCACGUUAAUGUUAGAAUUUGCUGCUUGAAAGUUGCAUUUAAAUACUAAGAAUGCAAAGAAACUACUUAAAAUAUAAAUUUAAUGUAAGCAUAUUGAACAAUCCUGCCUUGAAACCCAUCAACCAGGAGAUUGGCCAUCAGAAACCAUAAGAUGAGGAACACUAUUACAGUAACCCUACAUGCAAACACAUAAGAUAAAAAUAUUGGUUCAGGGAUCUAGAAGGAAAAAGGUAUUUCCCCCAGUUGCAGGCCUGACUCGGUCCUAUUUCUGUGCAACCCCAUACACCAAAGUCCUUUCAGCUUUGCUGAGACUCUUCCCAAAGCAUAACAUGACCUCAAGUCUUAGUAAAACUGUGACUCAAGCAGGAAGUUAGAGAACACCAAACUUCAAAAAUCUGUUCUCUGCAUGAAAAAUAAAUUUCACUUCCCAAAUUAGAUUAGUGCAACAGCUCUUACCAGCAUUGGCAGUAAAAGCUCUAUAGCUGAAGUGAUUGAUUUUUUAUCUCCUAUUUCCUUCAAAGCUGGUAUUUUUGAUGUCUGCAGAGAAGAAAAAAAAAAGAGUAUUAUUAGCACCAUUACAAUUUUUCAGUAUUUAAAAAAUUGGAAUGUUACUCCACUUUAUUCUUAAGACUAGUGUUUAUUUUUGAAGCAUCAUAUUGUAUGCAGAAAUGCUGUACGAUGCAGCAGCUGACUUGAAAAGCUUGUAUUUACUGCAGUAAAUGUUUCCUUGGGGAAGGUUUCUACAUAAACCACUCACAUUAAGUAGCUUAUCCUUAAAUCCACACACAUUGUUAAGAAACUUACAAGACUAGAAAGCAUUAGGGCAGAAGUGAAGUGAAAAGCUGCUUCUGUCCCACAGAUUUAUUUUCCCCUCUAGUAGGGGAGAUCUUAAAAGUCACUGGCAGACUCUGCCUCUAGUUCUCUAGUUCUACUGAGAACAGAUGGGACACCCACACUAUCCCCAAACUCUGUCCCCAGUUGAGCUUUUCAACCAAUAGAUCUUUUUGCAUAGUAAGAAGGAACAGAGGGGCACUGAUAGAACCAGCAUUCAGAGUUCAUAAUGACAAACAGGGUUAAGCUGUUUAAGGUGGCCAAUGCCACGUUUAAAAAUAUUCAAUGUAUCAAUCCUGAAUACUGUGUGUAUAACAUCAAUGUGUUGUGAGGGAAAAGAUUGGUUUCAUUUUUCUUUUAGUAAUAAGCCCUUGACUGUUGAAUACUUUUCGCUCUCUCUGACUGGAUGAGGGAUUAAAAUUUUAGGAUAAGAAAAUACUGUAUAAAAUUAAUUUUCCAAAGACAUCAGGUAGUUUAACUUGCAGGAUAAAGCCUGUCUCACUGUUCUGUGACCAACUGGUUGUACGUCCCUACAGAAUCAUAAUGCAAGCAAAGUUUACCUUGUAUACAUUUGCAACAAUGCAAAGGCUUUUGGCCAUACAUAAAAGGUGUCCUAACAGCAAAUAACUUAUCAGAGCUGCCUACAUCGGUUAACAGAAAAAUAAAAAAAAAUGAAGAAUAGCCAUUAAAUUACAGAUCUUAUAUUCCAGCCAAAUUCAUUGUUGGUGACUCCUAUCAUAUAUGGGACUGCAUUAAAUUCUUUUCCAGCUAAUAUCUCUUCAGGUGACUUGUGAAGAAAUACUCCAUCCAAAACUAAGGGUAUAAAUGAGUUUUCCUAAAGGAAGAGAAAAAAAUAUCAUGUUACUUGUUAAUAGUAUUUUCCAUUUUCCCUUCAAAUCACAGAAUAAAAUGUCCAUAUUUAACGUUCCAAGUGCAAAAAAGCAGCUUUAAGAAAUUUGAGUAUCUACGGCCACUGUAACACACAUUCAUAGUUUUGUCCAACAGUACAAAAUACUAGGCUGGUUGGGUCAUGGUAUGGAGUAAAGUAAUGGUUCCCUGGUCCUGUGCUGCCUCUAACUGACAUCAAAACCUAUGUGUGCUCCAGUCUUGCUUACAACUUUACAGGUGCCAAGACACUCCACUGAAAAUUCUAAAGAGAAACGAUGUGGAAUUAUUUCAGUAUUUCAGGAGUGUUUUGACAAAAGUUAGGAAAAAUCGACUUUGAAACAGGCUAAUCACGAGCUAGGCAGAGAUUGAGCUGUUUUGCAAACAUGCCAUUAAAAAAAAUCUGUUAGGAAGUGAAGUUUCACCUACCGGACUUUUAAAGACUAAAUCAUUUGCUUCCUGGUUCCUUAAGCAGUUUAUCAGGGAGAGUGAACUGCUCAUCUCACACUUAAAUAUACUGGCAAUUUUCUGAAAAUUAUUAACAAAGACAAGAACUGUUAGCUCUGGGGUGAUCUUCAAGGAAUUUAUAAACACAAAAUUAUUAUACAGAGUACUGUUAAUAGUUUUAUUUAAGGGCAGAUUUAGGUGAGCUUGAUAGGUAUUCAAGUAUUUCAUUUUACUAGAAACAUGACAGUUUGAUCACAAAGUGAAAUCACUCUGGUAUACUUCUCUUUCUUGCUCUAUUUCCAUUCACUGUUCUACAACAAACCUUGCUGUUGAGAUGUUACAAGGUUGUAACACAAAUAAGGCAAGAAAAUUCAGAAAAUCAACUUUUGAGAGACUUACAUUACUACUACCUGUUGUUUCAGGAUGAGAAAUGAGGAGGUAUUUAUAGAGAGGAAUUUAAUAUCUUUAAAAAUUAAUUGGUUCAUUAAUUAUUUGGGUUUAAAAUUAAUUUACUUAAAAUAAAGGCCCUACAUAAAAGACCAUAGCUUAAUAAAAACUGAAUGCCUCUCUGGAUUCUAAUUAAACUUUCAAUAAUAAAUUUCCUAAGUUACUGUGUGCACAAAAAUGGACAUAUGCUUAGCUGGGCAGGUGUGUAAAUACCUAACUUGACCCACAGAUAUUAUAAUCAUGUAACUGUACAAUCUAUUUCCAACACCAAAAGAACACAGUAAGAUUGAAAAGAAAUACACUAUUUGAGUGAAAAUUUACAUAGUGCUAACCCAUAUAUUUAUAGGUAAGUCAUGAGAAUGAAUUUUAUCUUUGUUGCAUAAUACACAACCAAAUUUUCCCCUUUUCUCUUUUAACCAAAUAAUUAGAUAUAAGAAAUACCAUAUUUUAGGUUGUAAAGGCCUUAAAAUGUAAAAAAAACAAACCCAAAAACCCAAAAAAGAGCCUACCUUAAGGUCACUUGAAGCACGUAAAUCUUUUUCACUGGGGAUUAGAAUUCCGCUCUCUGAUAUUGCUUUAUGAAAGAGGCCCUUAGACAAAGGAGACAAAACCUGCCAAGAAGGAAAUAACAGAAAGAAUUUAUUCUGCAUUAAGGUUCUUAUCCCAUAACUCUAUGCUUCACUAGACUGCUGGAUUCCCUGGGGAGUUACACAUUUUCAUAUGUUUACAAGGGAAGUGUCUCGACUUAGCCCAAUGUGCCGUUAAUCUGACUUUGAAAAAUCAGAUUAAGCAUGAAAUGUUACACUAAUUGAGUUUCUGAAGAUUUUUUUUUAAAGACACUACUUUUUAGUGUCUCUACUUCAUGCCUACAUGUGCAAAAACAGAGCAAGCUCCGGCAGAUACGCCAAAGAGUGUGACAGAGCUUGGAUCUCCACCGAAGUGUUCAAUAUUUUCUUGGAUCCACCGAAGAGCUGCUACUUGAUCCAGAAAUCCCAAGUUUCCACGAGCGUGUUCAUCACCAGUACUGAAAGAAAAGUGGCAUGAGCCAACUUCUCAGAAAGAGCAACAGUUCUAAUAACAGAAUAAAAUAAACCUCACUGACUUACA